rnacentral:lncRNA from 1 species
AUGGCCACUGGAACAAAUCACAUACUUGAGGUAGAUAAGAUAUCUCCCUUACUCACCAACAGAUUUGAGUUAUCCUCAGCCUGUCCAUCUGCUUACGCUGUUUUAAUGGAGUGUGGCCAUUGGGCAUGCUACAGCUUCUUGGAGCCACAGAAUGCCAACAUUGAAACCUGGAAAGACUUAUAUGAACGGAUGCAAAGGGAAGUCAGCAGAACCAGGAGAACAUUGCACAUGGUAAUAGCAAUAUUUGUAUGAUGGUCAACUGUGAAUGACUUAACUCAUUCAAGGAGCCAGGACAACUCCAAGGGAAUCAUGAUGAAAAAGGCUAUCCACCACCAUAGAAGGAACUGACAGAGUCUGAAUGCACAUUAAAACAGACCAUUUUUCCUUCAUGAAUUUUUCCUGUGUGUGCAAUAUGUGUCUCCUUUGCAACAUGACUAAUAAGAAAAUAUAUAUUGCAUGAUAGUAAAUAAGAAACUGUCUGGAAGUGGGGAGGGGAA